UGAAACGAACGUGACCCUUCCGACGUGAAUGUUCACACACAAAGCACAUUAUGCAUACGUGAAAAUGAGCACGUAUAGUCGCUAUAAAGCCAAAGUACAAAAGAAAAAGUUCGUCGUCGGAAGUUUAUAUUGACGUGCCUUACGAACGUGGAAACUUCUGCGGCGAGUAGCGUCGACUUCGCUAAUUCCGUCUUCAAUUUUCUUCGUUUCGGAAUCCGAAGUCGCUGUUUGUCUGCCCCAGACAAAAUAUGGUGGAAAAUGGCCAACUGUGGGACGUGUGGGUAUAUAGACUGGAAAUUUUCCUAUACCCUUCCCAUCGACUGGAAUCGGAUCGGAACGUUUUCGAAACUGUCACAUGAAGUCAAAAAAGAAAAAGAAACUAUCGAAAAAGGGCAUCCCACCCUCUCUGUGUCCGCGGGUAAAACAAAAUCUUUUGUGACCAGAAUUUUCGAGUUUUAGGCCUAGGACAUCUGGAAAUCAGUCGUCAGCGAGCGCUCAGUCACAUUUAUUUUUAAAGGUUUCUUCUGCGUCUGGACGACGAUAAAAGAAAUGUUUCACCAUAAUCUCAAAAAGCGACGCAAUAAAAAAUGGUGUUUCUUAUCAAAUUCAUUGCGUUAUAACAAACGAAUGCUAGUCAUCGAUCCUAUUUUACGUGACGACAGUAUAAAGGGACACGUUAACAAGGCAGUCGACCCCGAUGGACUGUCAUCGGUACUCCCGCGUUCAAAUGUUGCGUGAAUGGCAACACCAGUUGUUACACUUGCGUAUACGCAUCACGUUAGACGAGAUGAUCGAAUUUUGCGUGACCACCUUUUUUAUUGGCACACACGAAUGUCUGAUAAUAAACACUAACAUAUUUAUUGCUUUCCAUUCUUUUCUAGAGGACCGAACGACUAUAGAACAGCCACGCCCAACGAUCCUAACCAUUUUCUUCCAUUGCCUUUAAUUCUUUCCUGGAGCUACUAUAUGGACUGGAUCAAUACAAGCAGCCAUAGGUACAUGGUUUUUGCUAUGAUAGUCUAAUGUCUCCAAUAGCUUCCGUCUAUACUUUUAUAACCCGAAAACAAAUCCAAUAAGAAACCCCUUCGGUGGAAUAGCAUGUUUUGACCGACUGCCAAGUUUUCGAACGUAUCUACGGAGAACUCUUGUACAAGAGUCUCAGCUGAUCCAUCUUCGAUGGUCCACGAUAGAUUCCCCCUCCUCGUUGGGCAUAGCCUAUACAUCAGCGGGAUCAUGCAGCAACUUCCCCUCCAAAAAAGGACAUUACUCGUCCUGCCCAUCAUCAUCUGCUGCUCCAUCAUCCAACUUCACCAUAGUCCUGGAGACACACCCCGAAAUGUAUUUUUUUGUUUUUUUCUCCGGUAUGGCUGGAGCGGAUAUGCAUACAACAGUCCGUUCUAGUAAUGAAUUUCUCGUUUUCUCUCUCUUUUUCUAUUCGUUUCUUUUUCUGUUUCUUUUUUCGUAUGUAUCCUGUUUUUUUUACGAACCGAAUGAAUGAUAACCGUCUCGAUUGGAACGUACGCACGAAACCCCGUUAUUAAAUAUAUCCAUAAUCCAACUGUA
rnacentral:lncRNA from 1 species